rnacentral:rRNA from 1 species
AAUUGAAGAGUUUGAUCCAUGGCUCAGAUUGAACGCUGGCGGCAGGCUAACACAUGCAAGUCGAACGGUAACAGGAAGAAGCUUGCUUCUUUGCUGACGAGUGGCGGACGGGUGAGUAAUGUCUGGGAAACUGCCUGAUGGAGGGGGAAUAACUACUGGAAACGGUAGCUAAUACCGCAUAACGUCGCAAGACCAAAAGAGGGGGACCUUCGGGCCUCUUGCCAUCGGAUGUGCCCAGAUGGGAUUAGCUAGUAGGUGGGGGGGGUAACGGCUCACCUAGGCGACGAUCCUAGCUGGUCUGAGAGGAUGACCAGCCACACUGGAACUGAGACACGGUCCAGACUCCUACGGGAGGCAGCAGUGGGGAAUAUUGCACAAUGGGCGCAAGCCUGAUGCAGCCAUGCCGCGUGUAUGAAGAAGGCCUUCGGGUUGUAAAGUACUUUCAGCGGGGAGGAAGGGAGUAAAGUUAAUACCUUUGCUCAUUGACGUUACCCGCAGAAGAAGCACCGGCUAACUCCGUGCCAGCAGCCGCGGUAAUACGGAGGGGUGCAAGCGUUAAUCGGAAUUACUGGGCGUAAAGCGCACGCAGGCGGUUUGUUAAGUCAGAUGUGAAAUCCCCGGGCUCAACCUGGGAACUGCAUCUGAUACUGGCAAGCUUGAGUCUCGUAGAGGGGGGUAGAAUUCCAGGUGUAGCGGUGAAAUGCGUAGAGAUCUGGAGGAAUACCGGUGGCGAAGGCGGCCCCCUGGACGAAGACUGACGCUCAGGUGCGAAAGCGUGGGGAGCAAACAGGAUUAGAUACCCUGGUAGUCCACGCCGUAAACGAUGUCGACUUGGAGGUUGUGCCCUUGAGGCGUGGCUUCCGGAGCUAACGCGUUAAGUCGACCGCCUGGGGAGUACGGCCGCAAGGUUAAAACUCAAAUGAAUUGACGGGGGCCCGCACAAGCGGUGGAGCAUGUGGUUUAAUUCGAUGCAACGCGAAGAACCUUACCUGGUCUUGACAUCCACGGAAGUUUUCAGAGAUGAGAAUGUGCCUUCGGGAACCGUGAGACAGGUGCUGCAUGGCUGUCGUCAGCUCGUGUUGUGAAAUGUUGGGUUAAGUCCCGCAACGAGCGCAACCCUUAUCCUUUGUUGCCAGCGGUCCGGCCGGGAACUCAAAGGAGACUGCCAGUGAUAAACUGGAGGAAGGUGGGGAUGACGUCAAGUCAUCAUGGCCCUUACGACCAGGGCUACACACGUGCUACAAUGGCGCAUACAAAGAGAAGCGACCUCGCGAGAGCAAGCGGACCUCAUAAAGUGCGUCGUAGUCCGGAUUGGAGUCUGCAACUCGACUCCAUGAAGUCGGAAUCGCUAGUAAUCGUGGAUCAGAAUGCCACGGUGAAUACGUUCCCGGGCCUUGUACACACCGCCCGUCACACCAUGGGAGUGGGUUGCAAAAGAAGUAGGUAGCUUAACCUUCGGGAGGGCGCUUACCACUUUGUGAUUCAUGACUGGGGUGAAGUCGUAACAAGGUAACCGUAGGGGAACCUGCGGUUGGAUCACCUCCUUA